GUGUCAGCCGCCGCGGUAAUACGGGGGGGGCAAGCGUUGUUCGGAAUUACUGGGCGUAAAGGGUUCGUAGGUGGCCGGCUAAGUCAGACGUGAAAUCCCUCAGCUUAACUGGGGAACUGCGUCUGGGACUGGUCGGCUCGAGGGCAGGAGAGGAACGUGGAAUUCCAGGUGUAGCGGUGAAAUGCGUAGAUAUCUGGAGGAACACCGGUGGCGAAGGCGGCGUUCUGGACUGCAUCUGACACUGAGGAACGAAAGCCAGGGGAGCAAACGGGAUUAGAAACCCGCGUAGUCC
rnacentral:rRNA from 1 species